rnacentral:tRNA from 1 species
UGGUCACUAGCUUAACUGGCAAAGCUACACCCUGUUAAGGUGUCCGAUGUAGGUUCGAAUCCUACGUGAUCAGC